rnacentral:rRNA from 1 species
UACGAAGGGGGCUAGCGUUGCUCGGAAUCACUGGGCGUAAAGCGCACGUAGGCGGCUUACUAAGUCAGGGGUGAAAUCCUGGAGCUCAACUCCAGAACUGCCUUUGAUACUGGUGCUUGAGUCCGGAGAGGUGAGUGGAACUGCGAGUGUAGAGGUGAAAUUCGAUAGAUAUUCGCAAGAACACCAGUGGCGAAGGCGGCUCACUGGCCCGGUACUGACGCUGAGGUGCGAAAGCGUGGGGAGCAAACAGG